CGAACAUGUGACCUGCCUGCUCCCAACAUAAAGCUCAGCUUUCCCUGAUCGCUAGAGUUCACUUUGGCACCUAUAUCCCAUCCAAGACAAAGGCACUACUUUGAUGACAGGUUAUCAGCCCUCCGCUGAGAAGGGGGAUGGGACCGAUGCUCGAAUGUAAACCUCUAGGCAGUGCUGAACACAUGCUGGAAAACUGGUGUUGUUAUGAAAGGUGCAGCAAGCAUCAGAAGUGAAAAUGAAACUGGCCUACAUCCAGCUUAAUGACGGACUCCUUCCAUCGAUGCUGGGAAAAAGUGCAUGUCUUCUAGGAUGUGCUUGCUGCCCAGUGGAUGCUCCUGACCUGGCCUUCUGCAGUGUCACGCUCCGUGUAUUUGACAAGCUGAGUUGGACACUCUGUGUGGUAGAGUGUCAGUUUGUCAAAUACCCCAAGUGUGGCUCCUGCCUAGCAUCUCCAGGCCCAGGGCAGAGCAAAUAGCCUGCUGCCUAUAUACAAAUGUUUAUGAACCGACACCCUCUCUUAAGGUACUCUAUGGUUCUGAGGGAACUGUAACAUUUCAGCAGGAGACAUCAGAGUAAGGAAGGUGCAGCUCCGGGGCCUACACAUCUGGGAUCUAUCUACACACCUUGUGAGAAUGCCGUGGAAUGCCCAAUGGGAUUAAAAAUAUAUUAAGGGAUACCAAGAAGGAUGUGCAAUUUGAUUUAUUAUUAAUGUCUUCUUUCACAUUCCUCUUCCUGCAGCCAGAACACCAGAGUUUUCUACAAGCAUCUUGACUUCAAUAAGAAAGUAGGACAUAGAAAGCCACUUUCGUGUCCUUGGAGCACACGUUGACCUUACCUGCAUUUUCUCUUUUUCUCUUUUCUUUUGUCCUUCUCAAAGUACUCUUUCUGCUUCUCUUCCAUGUACGUUCAGACCCCACCAAAUUCCAAACACUCUGGGCAGUUUGGAACAUCGACCUAUACUUUUUCUUUACUCCUUGACUAGAUCCAGGUAUGUACUCUUAUAUUUCUCGCCACCCAAUACAUCCCCCUAAAUUGUCAGUGAAUUUUUCCAGGGUAUAUUCUUAAAUUCCCUGUUACAUUGUUAAGAGUCUAGAGCAUAUUAUAUUUACUUGAUUGCUGUCUUCCCUACUAUUGUCCAGCAUUUUAAUUUGUUUAAUAAAUGUUUAUCAAUUAAUUGA